rnacentral:rRNA from 1 species
UACGUAGGUGGCAAGCGUUGUCCGGAAUUAUUGGGCGUAAAGCGCGCGCAGGCGGCCUCCUAAGUCCGAUGUGAAAGCCCACGGCUCAACCGUGGAGGGUCAUUGGAAACUGGGGGACUUGAGUGCAGGAGAGAAGAGUGGAAUUCCUGGUGUAGCGGUGAAAUGCGCAGAUAUCAGGAAGAACACCUAUGGCGAAGGCAGCUCUCUGGGACGGUACUGACGCUGAGACGCGAAAGCGUGGGGAGCGAACAGG